AGUGAACGCUGGCGGUAGGCCUAACACAUGCAAGUCGAACGGCAGCACAGUAAGAGCUUGCUCUUACGGGUGGCGAGUGGCGGACGGGUGAGGAAUACAUCGGAAUCUACUUUUUCGUGGGGGAUAACGUAGGGAAACUUACGCUAAUACCGCAUACGACCUACGGGUGAAAGCAGGGGAUCUUCGGACCUUGCGCGAUUGAAUGAGCCGAUGUCGGAUUAGCUAGUUGGCGGGGUAAGGGCCCACCAAGGCGACGAUCCGUAGCUGGUCUGAGAGGAUGAUCGGCCACACUGGAACUGAGACACGGUCCAGACUCCUACGGGAGGCAGCAGUGGGGAAUAUUGGACAAUGGGCGCAAGCCUGAUCCAGCCAUACCGCGUGAGUGAAGAAGGCCUUCGGGUUGUAAAGCCCUUUUGUUGGGAAAGAAAAGCAGCAGGUUAAUACCCCGCUGUUCUGACGGUACCCAAAGAAUAAGCACCGGCUAACUUCGUG
rnacentral:rRNA from 1 species